UGGGGAAUCUUGGUCAAUGGGCGCAAGCCUGAACCAGCGACGCCGCGUGAGUGAUGAAGGCCUUCGGGUUGUAAAGCUCUGUGGGGAGAGACGAAAGAGCAUGUUCUAACAGGACGUGUGUUGACGGUAUCUCCUUAGCAAGCACCGGCUAACUCUGUGCCAGCAGCCGCGGUAAGACAGAGGGUGCAAACGUUGCUCGGAAUCACUGGGCGUAAAGGGCGUGUAGGCGGGAAGGAAAGUCAGAUGUGAAAUCCCUGGGCUCAACCCAGGAACUGCAUUUGAAACUCCCUUUCUUGAGUGUCGGAGAGGAAAGCGGAAUUCCUGGUGUAGAGGUGAAAUUCGUAGAUAUCAGGAGGAACACCGGUGGCGAAGGCGGCUUUCUGGACGAUAACUGACGCUGAGACGCGAAAGCGUGGGGAGCAAACAGGAUUAGAUACCCGCGUAGUCC
rnacentral:rRNA from 1 species